rnacentral:lncRNA from 1 species
CUGAUUUCUGCUUUAAUACAUGCAGAUACGUUAUUUGGUUUUCCAUUGGCAGUCCCCAGUUUCUGGAGACCAAGUUUCAAACUCUGAGAACUCUGCUGUGACUUUGAAGGGGGCUGAAGAACACUUUUGCAGAAGCUUUCCACAGGAAGAGCUGGCAUCCGUAUGUGGGCUGAAGAAGAGAAGCAGGAAACCAAGAAGUUUGUUGCAUCUUCAGGAUGAGUGGAUUCUAUGUCUCUCUGCAUCCCUUUCUGUAGGCUUCACAAGAAGGGUUUUGCUGUGCUAGGACAUCUUCCUACAUCUUCUAAGGGUAUACCUGUGAAGGAUGCCAGGAUGGCCCUUGAUUCCAC